UUACAGAGUGAAACAGAACUUCGGUUUUGCCUUUGCUGGAUACUGAUCUGAUCGUCUCAAGUCUGAGUGAACAGAUCUUUGGUUUUGCCUUUGCUGGUGACCUGCUGCAGAA